rnacentral:rRNA from 1 species
GCGAACGGGUGAGUAACACGGUGUAGAUAACCUGCCCUUGACUUCGGGAUAAGCCUGGGAAACUGGGUCUAAUACCGGAUAUGCACCGUGGACCGCAUGGUUCUUGGUGGAAAGAUUUUUUGGUCAGGGAUGGACUCGCGGCCUAUCAGCUUGUUGGUGAGGUAAUGGCUCACCAAGGCGACGACGGGUAGCCGGCCUGAGAGGGUGACCGGCCACACUGGGACUGAGACACGGCCCAGACUCCUACGGGAGGCAGCAGUGGGGAAUAUUGCACAAUGGGCGAAAGCCUGAUGCAGCGACGCCGCGUGAGGGAUGACGGCCUUCGGGUUGUAAACCUCUUUCAGUAGGGAAGAAGCGAAAGUGACGGUACCUGCAGAAGAAGCGCCGGCUAACUACGUGCCAGCAGCCGCGGUAAUACGUAGGGCGCAAGCGUUAUCCGGAAUUAUUGGGCGUAAAGAGCUCGUAGGCGGUUUGUCGCGUCUAUCGUGAAAGUCCGAGGCUCAACCUCGGAUCUGCGGUGGGUACGGGCAGACUAGAGUGAUGUCAGGGGAGACUGGAAUUCCUGGGGUAGCGGUGGAAAUGCGCAGAUAUCCAGGGAGGAACACCG